GCGAAGAAGACUCCCGACAGGCCGGGACUCCUCCUUGGAACUCCUCACUCUCUACUCACUAUGAUAGCACUAAGCUACUAAAGUAGUUUACUCCUAAGAUACAUGACAUUUAAGUGAAGGAAUAGGGGGGUAUUUAUAGUGGGAGAUGGAGUAGGGGCUACUCCGGUGCCACAUCAGCGAUCCGCGUCAUCUUCAUCAUGCACCAUUGGAUCAAACCGACUUCACAACCGCCAUCUGAUCAACGGUAGAGGCAAACUAACAUGUGAAACAUGUGGGCAAGGUCGGUGGGAGGCCAACCGACCCUGGAACCGCCAUGAAGUGGGGUCGGCCGACCCCCUAUCUGGCUGGUUGGGCCCACCUGCAGUGUCCUGGAGGCUCUCUGAUGUCGGUGGAGUUGAGCUGACCUGUGGGACCCACCAAAGUGGGGUCACCCGACCCCAAUUCUAUGGGGUUAGGGUGUCAGCCCUGUCCUACAUGUCUUCCUCUUCAUGACUAUAAUGUUGUCUUGGUUACUGGUGUCACUGAUCUUUAGUUAUUCACCCCUUCUUAGUGUUUGGACCCUUGAAAAGUACCUGUUCUUACUCCUGCAACCAAAUAGUAGCAUGUACAUGUGGAACUAGGUUAUAUGUACCUAUAUUACUACUUUGUUUGGUUGUUUUCUCCCAAAAUGAGUCUUAUGUUGACGGUUAUGAUAGUAGAAAACAUGGUAUAAAUACCGUCAACAAGACCCCCCACACUUGAGUCUUUGCUCGUCCUCGAGUAAAGGUUAAAAAUGAGUGAUCAAUGGUUUCUAACUUAAGAUAGUAGUGAGCAUAAAAUGCUAGUUCGAACAUAGUUCAUCCAAAUGGGUUUUUGUGUAAGUGUCUAGCAUAUAUUCUUCAGAGGUUGAGAAAAGGAACAACUCUCAGAACAAGAUCAAAUUCCAAUUUCAUAUUCUUGGUACUUAGAGUUUUUAUGACACUUUUUAAAAUAAGUCACAUAGUUCAAUCCUACUCCUCAUUUAGCGCUCUAGAUCACUCAAAGUUUUUUAGUAGUCCUCACCAAGGCAUGAAUGCCGACUUGUUUCAUCCUAUAAUUAUAGGCUUAUAUGGGGCUUGGUAGGGAUAAACAAGGUAGCAUACUCUACUUUGCAAAUAUUGUUAAGUCAAAAACAAGGAUCCAAAGAGAGGAGUGUCAUAGUCAUAGAUCAAGAUGUGCAAGUGUGUUAUAUGGUGGACUAGGUUGCUCCUUUAUUUACUACACUCUCUCUACUUGUAUAUUGAGACAUGGCUAGAUUUUCUUUUUCUUCGAGCUUUAUGUGCUCAAUUUUUUUUUUCAUGGACUUGCACAUGUCCAUCUUUUCUUUUUAUUUUAUUUUGCCAAGCCCUUUUAUGUCUCAUUUUCUAAACAGUAUUUAGAGAGGUGUUCUAACACUUAGAGUAUGGAGCAACCUAUUUAGUGGAUGCACAAUACAUGUGGUUGCGUACUUCCAGUGUAGAAGCAGCAUAUAUAUAUGUGGUGUGUACGUGAUCUUGAUCUUGUGACUAUGAUACAACUCUCACUAGGGUCAACAAGGUUUUGACAAAACUCAUUACAAAAGCAGGUUGCAUUUCAUAAAAUGGUUACUUGAAUAUCUAAGUGUAUGGCUUUUAGUGGGAAUUUCUU
rnacentral:lncRNA from 1 species